UACGUAGGGACCGAGCGUUGUCCGGAUUCAUUGGGCGUAAAGAGCUCGUAGGCGGCUGCUCAAGUCGAAUGUGAAACCUCGAGGCUUAACCUCGAGCCUGCAUUCGAUACUGGGCGGCUAGAGUCUGGUAGGGGGAUCUGGAAUUCCUGGUGUAGCGGUGAAAUGCGCAGAUAUCAGGAGGAACACCGGUGGCGAAGGCGGGUCUCUGGGCCGAUGACUGACGCUGGAGGAGCGAAAGCGUGGGGAGCGAACAGG
rnacentral:rRNA from 1 species